GAUCCUGGCUCAGGAUGAACGCUAGCUACAGGCUUAACACAUGCAAGUCGAGGGCAGCACAGUGUAGCAAUACACGGGUGGCGACCGGCGCACGGGUGCGUAACGCGUAUCCAACCUUCCCGUUACUCCGGGAUAGCCUUCCGAAAGGGAGAUUAAUACCGGAUGGUGUUUGAAGUCCGCAUGAAAUUCAAACUAAAGAUUUAUCGGUAACGGAUGGGGAUGCGUACCAUUAGAUAGUAGGCGGGGUAACGGCCCACCUAGUCGACGAUGGUUAGGGGUUCUGAGAGGAAGGUCCCCCACACUGGAACUGAGACACGGUCCAGACUCCUACGGGAGGCAGCAGUGAGGAAUAUUGGUCAAUGGCCGUAAGGCUGAACCAGCCAAGUAGCGUGAAGGAUGAAGGUUCUAUGGAUUGUAAACUUCUUUUAUACGGGAAUAACACCAUCUACGUGUAGAUGUCUGCAUGUACCGUAUGAAUAAGCAUCGGCUAACUCCGUG
rnacentral:rRNA from 1 species